rnacentral:rRNA from 1 species
AGCGAACGCUGGCGGCAGGCCUAACACAUGCAAGUCGAACGGAUCCUUCGGGAUUAGUGGCGGACGGGUGAGUAACACGUGGGAACGUGCCCUUUGGUUCGGAACAACUCAGGGAAACUUGAGCUAAUACCGGAUGUGCCCUUCGGGGAAAGAUUUAUCGCCAUUGGAGCGGCCCGCGUCUGAUUAGCUAGUUGGUGGGGUAAAGGCCCACCAAGGCGACGAUCAGUAGCUGGUCUGAGAGGAUGAUCAGCCACAUUGGGACUGAGACACGGCCCAAACUCCUACGGGAGGCAGCAGUGGGGAAUCUUGCGCAAUGGGCGAAAGCCUGACGCAGCCAUGCCGCGUGAAUGAUGAAGGUCUUAGGAUUGUAAAAUUCUUUUACCAGGGACGAUAAUGACGGUACCUGGAGAAAAAGCCCCGGCUAACUUCGUGCCAGCCGCCGCCGUAGUAA